CUCUCUCUCAAAAAUAAAUAAACAUUAAAAGAAUAUUUAAAGAAAGAAGAAGAAGAAACCCUGGAAAUGCACAGCAUUGUUGGAAGCUUCAGUGCCUAUGAAAAACAGGCGAAGCUGUAGUAUAUGUCUUUGUGACUUUGGGGGCUGUUUCCACCCAAAGUUAGAUUUUCAUUUUUGAUUUAAUCUCUGUGUAUAAGCCUAUCAUGAUUAUGCCAAGAUAGAGAUAUAUACAUUUAAAUUGCACUUUUUGAAAAAAAUGUAAAACUUUUGGAACAAUUUUUUUAGUCAAUUUGAGAGCAAUUUCAGCUUUGUAUAUCUCUAAAUAACAUUAAAAAUGUGGAAAAAAUAAAAAAGGAUUGGAAAAAAAUUACUGAGAUUGUAUUUGAAAUGUUAGCCUUGGUUCUUAACUUGGUCUCUAGAUGUUAGCUCAACAUGGAAAACUAACUGGCAUUUAGACAAAACAUCCUGAAGUUCUUUUGGUCCCCAGGGUUGCUGUUUCUUCCAGCUGCAUAGUAUUACUAGCAGCAUAUAAAUUGGUGUUGGUUUGUGAGAGAAUUACUUGAGUUGUUUUGCUUUUUGAAUUAGUAAAAGGAACUUUUUAAAUAUGAGUAAAGUAACUUCUAAGACAUACCUUGCAGACAGCCUGGCGUUAGAAAUGCUCAUAGCACAGAUAAACAGCCCUGGUUACUUUGUGGGGGUUCUUACUUGUCCCUUAGCUUAGCGCUCUUCUCUUGCUACUCAUAGACUGAGAGAAAUCUCAUCCUUUGAUAUCCCAGUGGCUUGAAAAUUCCAUUCCUCACAUUGUUAGUAAGGAGGCAGGAGGGUGCCAUGUUCAAGUUCACACCUGUACUAGUAGGGUAGGUGGAGAGCGCAAAAAUUAUGUCUGCCAGCAUCUCUGUCUCCGGGGAGUUUCAACUGUCCCCCGCCCCUCCACAAGAUGAUUUUAGAUUAGUAAAUGAAUCUCCUUAACAAAUAGUCUAGGCACUUUUCAAACUGCUGCUUCUUCAUUGAUUCUUGGACAAGUGAGGUGCACAAGAUUCCUUUGAAAGAGGAAUGUCAGUUUUCUAUAACAUGUUGGAUCACUCGGACAUCAGCCCCAUUAGUUUUUCAAACCACACUUUUUAGGGGUUCACCUGUCUGGUACAGAUCCCAGGGGGUGGGAUAUCCGGUGGGGGGCACCAACUUCUUGCACCGUCUUGGUGAAAUCCCUCACUAUUGUGUAUCAGGGGUAGGUUUUUUUUUUGUUUGUUUUUUGUUUUUGUUUUUGUGAUACUGGUGCUGGCUCUCCUAUCCCAUCUCUAUGUGGUUUUUAUCCUUUAUUGUGGAGAAGCAGUUCAUUUAGUUUUCAGAUAUUUUUCAAAGGGAAUUAUUCAUAUGUAGCGGUAUAUUUGGUGUGUCUGUGGGAGGAGGUGAUUUCAGGAUUUUCAUAGGCUGCCCUCUUGCAGAAGUCCAGAGUGUUAGUAUUUUAAGUCCUACAAUAAACCACAACAAUAUUUCCCAAUCACCUUAUAAACCCUGACAAACUUUUAUACUCAGGUCCUCCACAGUCUAGUCCUCCAUUGUCAAAUCAAGUUAUCUUUUUUCUCACAUGUCUAAGAAAAUACAUACUUUCAUGUAGGACUAUAUAUUUUAGCAAGAGGAGCCUUACCUAGAAGACCGAGCUCUAUAUUAUUGAAACUUCAGUCCACUAUGGUCAGCAAGAAUGUAUACCAGUGGUAAACCAAAGCAGUGCAUUAUGAACAGUUCUGUGCAAAGGAUGGGGGUGGGAAGGCUUGUAUGGGGUAGAGUUGUUGCCAAAUCAGGGAAGUUCUUUGUUUCUUUUAUAAAGAGAAUGGUUCUGGUGUUGCUAGCACUGAGAAAAGUCAGAAAGGACGCGUGGAGACAGCCAGUAAAGUGUCUCCAGAAAAAGACUGCAGAAAGAGAUAGAAAUUGUGCACAAUUGAUAAAUAACUGUGGAUGUUAAAAGAAAGAUUCUACAUAAUAGCAAACUUCAUUCAACUGAAAACUUCAUUCACCUGCAGUUAGUCACAAAUGAUUUGGAUAAAAGGAGUGACCAUUUCAAAAGAAGAUAGCUUAUGGCAAGAAAAAGGUCAGAUGUGGGAAGAUCAGUUGAACAGGAGAAUCUAGCCCUGUUUGAAUAAAGCAGGCUAACAAUUGGUGGUCCUCUACCAAAUAUCACCCAACACUGUGGUUUGUUUAGUUAGCACAGGUUUCAAAAACUUGAAUGUAAAUGCUUUAGUGUGGCAUUAAUACUUCCAGCUUAUUAUGUCACUUUCUAUUAUCUAAUACUCAUCCCAUUUAUAUACUUACGAUACCUGCAUGGCUCCUGUGUGCAUUUGAACUCAUGACAUAGUUUUUUUUAUAUGUUUCAUGAGAGGAAGAGUGAGAUGCUUAUAUCAAAGCAUCAUUUUAAAAAAGCAUCAUUGAUAUGCUUUGUCGUUUGUUCUAUGUAAUUAUGUUUAACUCAUCCUAUUAAUAUUGAACAGUGUAUAUAUAGUUCCUAUUCCACAGGCAUUUUAAAUACAUGCUUCUGCUAUUUUAUAAAGUCUCCAGUUAAAAACUCUUCCAGAUAUUGAUUGUUAAAUAGAUUGAUGAUAGAGUAUACCUUAAUGAUCAUUGCAGUUGAGAUGCUUUCAAAUAAUCCUCAAUCACAAAUUGCCAUCUGAACUAUGAUUUGUGAAGGCUUCAUUAUACUGCAAAUAAUAACACCUGUGGUUCUUCUUUUCUCCAUUCCACCCCUCCCCCAUUCUUUUUGGAGUCCAGAUUUUGCCUUGAUUGUGAGAGAAAAGAGAAGAGAAGAGUACACUGUCAGGCAUAGGAGCAUAAUCUUUCCUCUAUUUUGCACUGGAAAAGAAUAGAUUUCCACGAUGGUCGCUGAGUAGAAAUGGAAAAAGCCAGUGGUUAAAUAUAUAAAUGCUGAGUAUUAUCCAGAAUUGAUAGAAGACACAGAACACCCAGAUUCAAGAAACAUAAUAAAACCUACAGUGAGAUAAAUAUAAAAUAAUGGACCUAUAGAAACAUGUUUAUGUAUAUCAAAAUCAAAGAGAUGUUUCAUGCAAGUAUUUAUUUUAAGAAGAGAAAGAAAAAUCAAAUCAUCUACAAAGGAACAAUAAGUGGAAUGACAUCUGAUUUUAACAGUAAAAUAUGUCACAAUAAGAGGAAUAAUGUGAUCAAAGUACUGAGAAUAAAAAUAACUUAGUCUUAAUCCUAUACCUAAUUGAACUUUUAAUAAAGAAAAUUUUCAACUUUUAAUGGUUGCGGGCUCUGCUUCUGGGCUCCCAGGGAAACUACACUUUUACUUUUGCCAAGGUCAGAAUGACUUAACCAAACUUCAAAGCAUGGGCUGUAUUUCUGCCUGGAGCAUACGCUUUACAUCUGUUUCAUUAGCAAAUAACCUAACAGAAACAUUUCAAACUAAAGAUAAGAGUAAAAACCUCCUAAAGUUCUCAUAUCUCUGAAGCCUGCAACCUUGUACCUACCAAAAGCAUAAGAUGAAGUUUGUAAUUUUCUGGAAUGUCUUAUGUCAUGAUGAUUUGUAAUUCUUGAUGUAACAGAAAACAUAUAUAACCCUCUAUUAAGCCUUCCUUCUCUGGAGCUGUCUCUUCUUUGUGAAGAUUAUGUAUCUGGAGCAGCUGUUCUACCUCAAGUUCAAAUGAAACUCUUGUCCUUUCUCUUUAAAAUUUCAAAAAAGGUUUGUUCAUUUUGCACCAACAGUUUCACUUAAUAAGAAUGAAAUAAAUAUAUUUUCAUAAAAAUGUGAAGAGAGUUUGUUUCUACUAGACUCUUCCUUUGCUGAAGGAUAUUUCAAGAUUGUACUUCAGGGAAAAGACAAAUCCAAAAGUUAGCACUGAGAGCAAGGAGUGGUAAACUAAAAAAUGGAUACACUUGUGGUUAUUUCUAACUAAAUAUUUUUGUAUAAAAAUAAUAUUUUUGUAUAACCUAUGGGAUAAAAACUAGAGAACUAAGUUAUUUGAAUAGUAAGACAAAUUUUGAAUUAAAGCCCCUGUAUUGCCAAGAAGAAAAUUGAGAUUUUCAUUAACUUUGAGCUUUAAGUAAAAUAUGUACAUAUUAAAUGUCAAGAAAUUGCUCAAAGAAAAGAAGUAACAUGUAGUAUUUCUAUUAUAGCAGUAAAAAAGAAGAGUGGUAAAAGAAUUUUAAAAUCCAAAAUCAACUAAGCAUAAAAAAGGAGCAUAUAUAGAAAGAAAACAUUAAAGUCAGCAGGAAUAUAAACCACUUAUAAGCUUAAAUGUACCUAAUAUAGUCUCGAAAUAUAGAAAGUAAAAAUUGACUGAACCAUUGUGUUGAUAAACCCACCAAAGGUAAAAGGUUUUUAAAAGAAAGUUCUCAGUACCUGAUAGAUUAAUAAGGUAAUAAUAAAUAAAGAUAUAAUAGAUUUGUACUUUGUUUUUUUUGCUUUGUCCUCCAAUAAUAACUUAUCGAGAGGUAAAUUAUUCCUUCUUAUUAGGGAGAACUUCCUUCAGUCUCUACCCAAAUUGCACUUCCUCAAAUUUCUAGUCUUCUUUCCCUAUUCCCAUCAUUCUUUAUUCUCUAUCCUAGGUUAAUUUGUUUUCAUAGCUUUUUUAUUAAAUGACCAUAUGCCAGUAUUUAUUUGUAUAUGCACUUUCCCCUUUCUCCUUAUGUCCCACAUGCCUAUAACACAGCCUGGUACAUUUUAGGUAUUUAAUAAAUAUUUGUUGAAUAAACAGACUUGAGGGCUUGGCAAUGUUGUUCCCUUUGUGGAUGAGCUCUUCCCUUCCUCUUCCUUUUCCUGGCAAACACCUACUUGUCUUUUUAGCAUUUGGUUUUCAGAUUCCUAAAAAAAUCUUUUCUUGCUUCUCCAGCCUAUGUUAGAUCCCUGUGUUUUAUGCUUCUAUAGCACUUUAUAAUUCCUUUUGUAAAUUCACUCAAUCAAUCAUUCAACAAUUAUUUGAGUGCCUAGUUCUAAUCCCUGUUUUAGACCCUAAGGAUGCAGUAGUGAACACAACAGACAUGAUCUCCAUUCUUGUGAAGUUUGUAUCUAGUGUGGUGGGAUUGGAGGGCAGACAAGAAGUAAACAAGUACAUAGUACUUCAUACAAUUAAACUCAGUGUGAGGAAACAUGAACCAGGAUUAGGGAGAUGAGAGAGCCAAGAAAAUAGUAGAUGGGGCUCCUUUAUAUGGAGGUCCAGGUAAGUCCUCAUGCAUUAGAUGUUUUAGAGGAGAAUCUAUAAGUAAAUGAGGGGUUGGCCCUGAGCUGAGCACAACUGGGAAAAGCGAUCAGGUCAGAGGAAACAGCAAGUGUGAACACCUUGAAGCAAUAAUGUUCUGAAAGUUUUCUCGGAACAGCAAGGUGCCCAGUGUGGCUGGAGCGGAGAGAACAAGGGAAGGGGUAGUAAGGGAGAAGUCGGAGAGAGACUUUUUUUGGGAUUUCUUUUGACGAGUGAUGUCAUUUUAGUUUAUACAGUUGUCACACAGAUGGGUAGGGGGAAGGGGCAGAUGGUCAUAGGAGUACAGGAUUCUGAAGGUGUAGCCUCAAGAACAGCCACAAGGUGAUGCUGGGCUGCCCAGGCAGCUCUGGGAUGUUCUGGUCUGGGAGCUGGGAGUCAUAGUGAUUCUAGGGGGCUCCCUCCUCACAGGGCAGAUGGGGUCGGAAACCCCCUUCCCAGAGGGGUUUCUCUGCAGUCCAAGGAUCCCAGACCCCGGGUCCAGGGUGUGUCCUCGGUGGUGCCCAUCUGUUCUGGGUGCAGGUCCAUGGUCACAGCCCAGGGACUGUGUACAGCCCAGCCAACUCAGCAGAAGGUCACCUCACUCCUUUCUGUGCUGCUGCAGGGUUAGAGCAGGGAGGCCCCAAGCAGUCAGGUCACCAUGUGAAAGCUGUAUAGCUGGACAUUGUAACUGAGGCUGCUGAGGGCGAUCUCUGCUACCUCCUGGAAGAUCACAUGGAUGUUUUUUGUGGAGCUGAACUGAUCACUCAAGGUAGGCCACUGCUCUUAGCUAAAGAUUGAAUGAGGCUAAAACUUGCUACUUUAAAGACUUUGGCUUUCACUCUGAGACACUAAAGCCACAGGAGAGAUUUUAGUUUCAACAGGCUCUCUUAUAGGAGGUAGAGUUAGAGGGGAAAUUAGUUAGAAAGUAAUUAAAAGAAACCAGAUCAGACGAUGGUGGGGAUCUGGGUAGUAGCAGGAAAGGUAGUGAUAAGUGGUCAAAUUAUGGAUACAUUUGGAAGACUUAGCCAGCAGGAUUAAAUGAGAGAUUGAAUAUAGGAUGUUAAAGAAACAAAGCAGCCUAUGAUGAAUCAAGGGUCUGGCCUGAGUAUGGGAAGACUAUAGAGGAGCAUAGGGAGAGGGUCUGUGACUAGGGGGAAUACAGAUUUUGGACAUGUUGAGAUAUGGGACACCCAAAUAGAGAUUUUGAAUUGGAACCUGUAUAUAGAAUUCUGGAACCAAAGGGAAAAUCCCAGAAUAGAGAUACAAAUAGGGGAAUUAUCAAUAUAUAGAUGAUAUUUAAAGCCAUCUGCAGGAUGAAAACAACAACAACAACAAACAAACGGAAGUUGGAUGACUCAGCUCUGGGUAAUUCCAGCAUUUAAGUUUUGAGAGAAUGAGGAAGCACUAGGCAGGGAGGAAAACCAAAAGAGCAGUGAUGAGAAGCCACGUAAAUGAGUAUUUUAAGAAGAUGGGAAGGAUUAGCUGCGUGGCACGCUAAUAGGCGAGGCAAGGUGUCAUCUGGGAAUUGAUCAGAUGUGUAUUCCCAUCUGGGAAUACAAUUGUGUAGCCCUCUGGAGGUCAUUGGGGGUCCUAACAUAUUUGAAAUAGCCGAUAAAAGCUUCAUUGGAAUAGGCUCAACAGGGGAUGGAAAACAGAUAUGGGGACAGUAUGAACAAAUUUUUUGAGAAUUUUUGCUUUCAAAGGCAGCAGAGAAAUAAUAUAAUAGCUGGAGGGAGAUAGAAUAAUUCACCUGCUUGAUACUCCUGUGUCCGUAAACAUGGUAAGACUCACAUGCUGUGGUAACAGCUAUGUCUAUCCUGUUGACUGCUUUUUGCCUCGUACAAUGCUUGACCAAAAGUAGAUGUGCGAUUAAAUACUUCUUGGACAAAUAAGUAUAUGCAAUUUCUGUUAAAAUUAAAAUCUAAAAUUUGUUAUGGUUUGAAAAUAUUUUCAAUAGAUGUUGCUUUUUCUUUUAUGCCAGAGCAAGAAUAUGCAUUUUGACUUUGGUAAAAAAAAAAAAAUGAUUACAGAUAUGA